rnacentral:lncRNA from 1 species
GCAACAUUAAUAACAAUAAUCUUGUUUCCUCAGUCAUAAUCUAGUCUUUAAUUAGUAAAGAAUAAAGAUUCCACAAUCUAUUCCACCAUAACUAACAAGCCUUGUCUGUGAUUUUGGAAAUGAGGAUGACUUGAUACAUACCAAACAAAGAUAAGCAACACUCUGCUAUAUGUAAACUGAAUCAUAGGUGAAAAAUUUACAGCACUUUAGAGAAAAGAACAUCAAGAUGCCUUAAUGCCUCUGCAGCAAGACUAGGCGUUGACAUUGAAACAAAAGAACUCCUGUCCGUGAUAUCUAUUUGUUUAUAAUCAUGUACCCCAGUUAAAAUCCAAAAAUGCAAAAUGAAAACAAAUGAACUAGCAGUGCAAACCUCCAGACUACUUAAAAACUGUAUAUAUUUAUAGCUAUCAGCCAUGUAAUCACCUAUAAAAUUUUCUGGAAGCUGACAAAUCGUCCAGCACCAAAGAAGAAAAAGAUCAACGCAAAAAAAGCAAGUCCAACAAAAUGAAAAGACAUGAACAAAAAUCAAAAGUUGACUAUAACCAAU